rnacentral:rRNA from 1 species
UACGAAGGGUGCAAACGUUGCUCGGAAUCAUUGGGCGUAAAGCGCACGUAGGCGGCUUCGCAAGUCGGAUGUGAAAUCCCAUGGCUCAACCAUGGACGUGCAUUCGAAACUGCGAAGCUUGAGUAUGGAAGAGGGUCGCGGAAUUCCCGGUGUAGAGGUGAAAUUCGUAGAUAUCGGGAGGAACACCAGUGGCGAAGGCGGCGACCUGGGCCAAUACUGACGCUGAGGUGCGAAAGCGUGGGGAGCGAACGGG